CUUUGGCGACUGAAGCAGCGGAAGACUCUACUCAAGUAGCUAAGCUACGUUCAGCUCUUGAAUCUGUUGAUCACAAGAGAAGAAAGAUUUUACAACAAAUGAAAAACGACGCAGAGAUGUUAAAUUUAGAAAGUGGCGCUGCACCUAUUCGGAGUCCUUCCACUUCUGCUGAAGAUGCAAGGCUAGUGUCGUUAAUCUCCCUCGACAGCAUACUGAAGCAAGUCAAGGAGUGUAGAAAGUUCGCCAGGUCCAGGAAGAAGAGCGGACA